rnacentral:lncRNA from 1 species
AAUAAACUAUGCAAUUCUCUGGGGCUCAGGUUUCUUGGGGGACGGAAAGUUUGCGGGACCAGGAAGUGAGUGAGAUGUCAGUGUUUGUUUGUGUUGUGCGAAAUUAACGGAUUAGCUGCGUGAAAUGAGCUAUGGAGCGGAAUCGCCCUUUACCUGACCGCUAGGGUGGUGACAUGAAAAUGGGCCUCGUGAUACACCUUCAACCUGGACUCUCGUGGCAGCAGUUUGUGUAGGCUGGCCUCCUUGCGGGUGGCACGGCCCCUUCGGCUGGAGCCAGGCUGUCCUUGGCCCGUGGGCUGCGGGCGCCAUGACAACGGCACGGCCGCCGCCUCAAGCCUGAUCACCUGGUCGCCUCGCAUCGCGUCGCCUCGCCCCACCCCACCGUCCUCCGCCCAUCACGCUGGCCCAACAGUGCCAGGGCUGACUGGUAGGCUGUCUGUCUGGCUGGGCAAAUGCCACCGCAUUGCACUGUAGCGUGCCGUGCCACACCACGCUGGGCCAGGGAGAAAGAUUUAAUACCUGGUGCUUGACCUAGUUGAGUUUGCAUCUAUAUUAGUGGGGGUAAAGGGAGAGAGAGAGAGAGAGAGAGAGAGAGAGGGAAAGAGAGAAAGAGAGAAAGAGAGAGAGAGGGGGAGGUUGGUGGUGACAGAGGGAAAGGUCACGGCAAGCCCGGGCACCUCCGCUGCUGAUGCAUCAGAAUGAUGGAGUUGGCUAAUUUAAUAAGCAACAGUUGUCUCCCCUCCGCGACCACAGAUGGUGUCGCGCGGCUCCAGGCGGCUCUUUAAAAACCAAUCCUCCAGCGGAGCUCUCGCAUGAUGGAGAGGCCGCAGAUCGGAGGCGCAGGAGAAACACAAGCUCAGAGGAGCUGGCUCGGCGUUCGGCCUGCCCAUGUGAUGAAGCAGAACCUCAGGGUGAGCAGAGCAGCAGCCCUUCAGACAAGGGGGGAGAGGAAGAGCAAGAGGAGGAGGAGGAGGAGGGCUCUAGCAUCCAGUAGCUAGCCCCUACAGUGUGGUGCCAGCUAUUCCUUUGACAUGCCUUUUUUCUCUGCAUUGGCCACCCUUCUCACCCUUCCCAAUGUCUCAUUUGUCACAUGAAAGACGCCUACUGUAAUAUUUGCCCUGAUAUCACUGACAGCCUACACCACUUGGGAGAUAUAUGUAUUUCUUUACAGCACUGAGUGUGGGGAGGGUCUUUCAGAGUUCGAGAGGUGUCUCUGUGUGAGACAAGGCCAUGCUGUAAAGGGACAUAAAAUACAGCACAGUGAGACAGG